rnacentral:misc_RNA from 1 species
UACGUAUGGAGCGAGCGUUGUCCGGAAUUAUUGGGCGUAAAGGGUACGCAGGCGGUUUAAUAAGUCGAAUGUUAAAGAUCGGGGCUCAACCCCGUAAAGCAUUGGAAACUGAUAAACUUGAGUAGUGGAGAGGAAAGUGGAAUUCCUAGUGUAGUGGUGGAAUACGUAGAUAUUAGGAGGAAUACCAGUAGCGAAGGCGACUUUCUGGACACAAACUGACGCUGAGGUACGAAAGCGUGGGGAGCAAACAGG